GUUUUACACUAGUCAUUGCUGUUUGGUGUGAGUAAAGACUCAGUGUUGAAGACCCUACUUUGAUCUAUAAUGGUUUGCUUUUACAAAUUGUGACUUUGAUGGAGAGUUGUAUCAUUGGUACUCAUACUACAUCUUCUUAUAUAUAUUUAUUAUUUAGGUAUGAACAGACUGAUCCAAACUUUGGAUACUUAAAUGUGGUAUCAUUAAGAAUCACUAAUAAAUGUUUAAAACAACUGAAUGUAUGAACAAUAUAUGAUUUAGCUACAUCUAUCAUGUCUA
rnacentral:lncRNA from 1 species